GUCUAAUUACAAAUUCUAAAACAAAUGAAACCGCAAAUGGCUCAUUAAAUCAUUUAUGAUUUAUUAAAUCUUGCGUUCCACAUGGAUAACUGUGGUAAUUCUAAAGCUAAUACAUGCAAAUGGCCCUGACUUACGGAGGGGCCCUUUUAUUAAAUCAAAAUCAAUCGGGGCAACCCUUUUUUGUGAUGACUCUGGAUAACUUUGUGCCAACCGCAUGGCCUUGUGCCGGCGGCUUAUCUUUCAAAUGUCUGCCCUAUCAACUUUCAAUGGUAGGUGACAUGCCUACCAUGGUUGUAACGGGUAAUUAAAAAUCAGGGUUCGAUUCCGGA
rnacentral:rRNA from 1 species